GGGGAAUAUUGCACAAUGGGGGAAACCCUGAUGCAGCCAUGCCGCGUGUGUGAAGAAGGCCUUCGGGUUGUAAAGCACUUUCAGCGAGGAGGAAAGGUUGGUGCCUAAUACGUAUCAACUGUGACGUUACUCGCAGAAGAAGCACCGGCUAACUCCGUGCCAGCAGCCGCGGUAAUACGGAGGGUGCAAGCGUUAAUCGGAAUUACUGGGCGUAAAGCGCACGCAGGCGGUUGGAUAAGUUAGAUGUGAAAGCCCCGGGCUCAACCUGGGAAUUGCAUUUAAAACUGUCCAGCUAGAGUCUUGUAGAGGGGGGUAGAAUUCCAGGUGUAGCGGUGAAAUGCGUAGAGAUCUGGAGGAAUACCGGUGGCGAAGGCGGCCCCCUGGACAAAGACUGGCGCUCAGGUGCGAAAGCGUGGGGAGCAAAC
rnacentral:rRNA from 1 species